rnacentral:rRNA from 1 species
UAGGGAAUAUUGCGCAAUGGGGGAAACCCUGACGCAGCGACGCCGCGUGAGCGAUGAAGGCCUUCGGGUCGUAAAGCUCUGUCGUAUGGGAAUAAUUUUGAAUGUACCAUAUAAGAAAGGAUCGGCUAACUUCGUGCCAGCAGCCGCGGUAAGACGAGGGAUCCUAGCGUUGUUCGGAAUCAUUGGGCGUAAAGCGGGUGUAGGUUGCUUUUUAAGUCAGGUGUGAAAGCCUAGGGCUCAACCCUAGAAG